rnacentral:misc_RNA from 1 species
AACGCACAUUGCGCCCCUUGGUAUUCCAUGGGGCAUGCCUGUUCGAGCGUCAUUUGUACCUUCAAGCUCUGCUUGGUGUUGGGUGUUUGUCCUUUCUCUUGCAGAGGGACUCGCCUUAAAGUAAUUGGCAGCCAGUGUUUUGGUUUUGAAGCGCAGCACAAGUCGCGAUUCAAGGCUAUACGCCAGCUUCCACAAGCCUUUUUUCACUUUUGACCUCGGAUCAGGUAGGGAUACCCGCUGAACUUAA